AACGGUUAGAUUUAAUUGAGCCGGUGUAUUGAAGUAUUUCUCAAAAAUUAAAACAAAAUGAGUAAUAUACAACAAUUAAAAUAAUAAUCCACAUUAAUCUCAAUGGUUGCUCAAUUCACAAUCCAAAAUCUCUAGCUUCCACAAUAAUUAAGCAAGAGAUGCCUAAGAAUAAAUUAAGGAGAAUAUGCCUAUAAUUAAUUAAACAGCACAAAUAAUUACACAUAAUAAUUUCAACAUCAUUUUAUUUUUUUUUUGUGCAUAUAUACACAAACACAACCACAAACCCUUAACUAUAUAUAACCAAACUAAUAUAUGUAGAAGAUUAAUAUAGAGCACUUAUUCAUUAGUGCAAUAUCUAUAUAUAUUUAUUUAUAACUAAAACACAUCAAACCCUUCAUUCAUAAUGCAUUAUAUAUAUAUAUAUAUAUAUAUGUAACAAAAUAAUAAUAAUAAUAAAAACUGGUGCAAAUUUUAAGCAUGGAUAUGGAUCUAAUGCUCAUGUUUGUGUGCUUCUUUCUUCUCAUGGUGCUCGUGGAAAGCGAAACCGGCGCCGCCGACGGCGACCGCUUCGGCGACCUCCUCCUCGAUCUUAUGCUUGUGGGCGUGCUCCGGAUCUUUCUUCUCCUCGUGCCGUUCGUACUGGUCGGAUCGAAAACAAAAUAAAAUUAUUUUUAAAAACAUUUAAAAAAAAUUGUGAAUUAUCACUACAACAGAAUUAGGUUAUAGGGACACAUGUUUGGGACACUUUUGAAUAAGUGUCCCAUUUAUGCUAAAACUUAAAAAAACAUCUACUAAUGCCUAAAUAUAAGCCCAAUCCAACCAAAAAUAAAAAAUUAUUCUACUCAACCUACCACACCCAGUCCAUUUGGUCCGAUUACAAACAGAAAAGAAAAAAAAAAAAAAAGAAAAAUCAAUUACCAACUUUUCUUCUCUCUUCACUCAAUCCACUGAAAUUCUAGACGAAGAGCCUUUCCUGUCGUCCUC
rnacentral:lncRNA from 1 species